AUAAAUACGGGGGUCCACAUUUCUACGAUGAGUUUACAGGAGUUGAUAGGCGGCCUUUUCUAGUACAUACAACAAAUAAAUUGUGCUGAAACCUUGGAGUAAGCCACUUCUAUAUAAUGUAUCUACCCUAUAGUUCAAACAUGCACUAACUUAUUUUUUUAUUGAUUGACAGGAAUAUAUGGGUGCAAAGUUCAUGGCCGCACACCAUAAAAUUAAGUCUCAAAACACUUCAAUCAGUACUAAAGGAUGGACCACUUGACCGUGAUUGCUUCAACAUGGCCAUACGCAAGUUCAUGUAUGAAAACGUCCAGUGGCUUCACAAAACCAGCGAAGCAAUAACAAAGCAUUGCCUGGACUUACAAUUUUGGACUGCUACUGGAUUUGGUAUAAGUCCAAUGUUCCAUAAGGAUAUAGAUCUUGCGGGGUCGGUUGGUAGCUGGUCGAAAAUCCAUUAUGAAGUUGCAAAAUGCAAAUUGGUAAGCUAGCUAUCCUUUGUUCUUAUUUGAAUGUGUUUUUUUAUAUUAUCUUGACGGUUGACUUUUUCCAUAUUCUUAUACCAGUAUGUGCUGUUGGAAGCUAUAUCUUGGUCAUACUGGACCAAGAAAGCAGAACACUUUAUCUACUAGACCCUAAUCCACUAAAUCCAAUGUAUCAGAACAACCCAACUAUGAGAUAUACCAAAAAAUUGUUAAACGUUACCAACUAUUACAACAGAGCCAUGCGUGUGGCAUGUCCUGGCUCUAGGUGGACUGAGGAUAUCGACUUGUGGGGCCAUAUAUAUGUCACAAAUCCGGUGGCUAACUCGAAUUUGUCGGGUUGUCUCGUGCAUCUGUUCAUGCGAUCCUGGAAAGAUGGAGCACUUCAUUUGCCGUCUUUUAAGGUCAUUCCGACUAGCAUUGGCAUUUAGAAUAUUAUAUUAUAUUUUAUAAUACAGUCAUUUAUUUUAUAAACAUAUGCAUUUGCUAGUCGAUUAAUUCCUGUUAUAAAUACGGGGGUCCACAGAGUUGGUAUCAGAGCCAUACGACUGUAGGAAAAGACCAAAAGGCGCCCCGCCCCUUUUCUAGUUGGCCAAGGGGGAAAUUCCCAUUUAGUAAUACUUUUAAAAAUAAAAAAACGCUAUGUUUACAAAACUCUAUACGAUUUUCAUCUUACUCUUAACUAUUUUCUUCACAAAACAAGUUUUACUCUUAGCUGACUUUGGGUUUUUCUUAAAAUUAGAUGGCAGAUCAGGAUUCACCCACUACCUAGGAGAUGGGUGUACCCCGCUCAGAGGGAUACGUCAUUGAGCUACAUCGGUUGAUGAGGCGCCUACGGUACCCCAGAUUUCCGAUCUACCGAGUUCGACAGUGUGGACCCGUUUGGGAGGCCUGGGUCGAGGUUCAUACACGAGUUCCUUCAAAGUCAGACUACAGCUUUCCGACACGCCAUCGUCGCGACUUACCGGAGACCGCGAUGCAGGGUGCAGCCCGGGAGGCCUUCCUCCGACUUAGCUCUAUUCACCGAGCUGAGUUAGUGAGUACCGAGUUUGCUCACCACCCGUUUCGAGAGGAGAGCAACUCCGUCUGCACAGUUCAGGACACACCUUGCUGCUACAACCCGAUAGUGACUCUACUGUCCCGAUGGGCUGAGGCAGUAGACGACUUCUACGAGGAGGCUCUGUUAGAGAUCGACGACCAGCAGAGGCGUGUGGGAGAGUUAGAGAGUGAGGUGACUGACCUCACAGUACAUCAGCUUCAGCUAGAGGAGGAGCACCAGGCUUGGGGCAGUGAGAUAGACUCACUGAAGGCACAGCUUCAGGUCCACGGUGACCAGUUUCAGCAGCUAUCUGAUCAGUACAAUGAUCGCCGCGGGAUGAUGGAUACACUCGAGGAGCAGCUGAGAGAGAGUUAGGAGCACGUCAGCCAGCUUGAGGAGCAGCUUCAAGCAGCUAUAGUCAGCACCACAGGAGCUUCUACUUCCACAGCAGUGGGGCGUGACCGCUACUUCUUCCUCACCCGGCCGUACCCACCAGCGUUCCACGCUCUUCUGGGAGAGGUUGGUAUGCUGGCUACUGAGUCAGCACCUUACUUGGUGGACCCGACAGUGACACAGCCACCUGCCCCAGAGAUUGUGCACACUCCACUGAUCCCUACUCCGUCACCGCAGCUGGGUUCCAGUAUGAAGACUCCGAUCCAGGUCGACUCCGAGACAGAGGGGACUGACACCGAGCCAGAGAUAGAGCCGGACAUCACUGAUCCUUUAGAGGACGAGACUCCUGUCCCCCGCAUCACCUUUAUCGGAGGCCCUCGCACCCUCAGCACUGCCCGCAAGAGCGCACGACCCCCGGGCAAGAAGCCCAAGCCAAAUCCAGAGGCCACUACUUCCGAGCCGUGGGGACUCGGGUUUGCCCGUGCCAGCGACCACCCUCUACCUGCCCCAGGAUCCUGCGGAUGGUUGGAUGACUAGACUGGAGGUCUAUUGCAGCUUCGAUCUCGCUUCAGAUGGUUUUUGGAUAGCAUGCGAGACACACACCCCCGCUACCUAGAUUGACGAGUAGCUUGAUGAUUAGUUUGAUGUAUCUUUUGGAUGAACUUUAUUUGGACUGCGUAUAUGUGCAGUCGAUUGCAUCAUGAUUUAUGUACUAUCUGUGGAACUCUGUGAUGUUAUUUAUGAUAUUAUUACUGUUGUGUUAUGAAUGAGUUUAUUCCACCAUGCUUGCAAAAUAAAGUUCACAAUCAAAACAACUCCUUUAACGAGAUAAAACCAAAAGGGCUAGUUAGGAAAAUAGGAUACUUACCUCAUCGGCGUACACAGAUGGCAAGCCGACGUAGGGCGUCAACCAGCAAUGAAGAAACUCAAGCACCCGACCUAAACACCCUGGCCGGAGUCAUGGCUACCCAAACCCAACUUCUACAAGCCAUCACAAAUAAUCAAGGCAACCGUGGAGGAUCAAGCUUUGGAGAAUUCAUGAGGACUAAGCCACCCACGUUCGCCACAGCUGAAGAACCUAUGGAUGCUGAGGAUUGGUUAAGGAUCAUUGAGAAGAAGCUGACCCUUGUUCGAGUACGUGAAGCCGAUAAAGUGAUCUUUGUGGCGAACCAAUUGGAAGGACCAACCGGAGACUGGUGGGACACAUAUAAAGAAGCCCGAGAAGAAGAUGCUGGAGAACCAAACCGGGAGGAAUUCACUACAGCCUUCCAUGACAACUUCGUGCCUGCCGCUGUGAUGCGAAUGAAGAAGAAUGAGUUCAGGAGACUACGGCAAGGAAAUACCACCAUACAAGAGUACCUGAACCGUUUCACUCAGCUGGCGCGUUACGCGACUGGAGAUCUUGCCGAUGACGAGGAAAAGAUCGACAAAUUCAUCGAAGGCCUGAACGACGAGUUGCGUGGGCCCAUGAUUGGAUAGGACCACGAUAGUUUCCAGAGUUUAAUCAAUAAGGUCGUUAGAUUGGAAAACGACCGGAAGGUUGUGGAGCACAAUCGCAAAAGGAGGCGUG